UUUCUAUCUACACAUCCAGCAGACACGUGCAAAAUUAGCGUUCAUUAGGAGACAUUUUUCUGUUCACCUUAUGAAUGGAACAAAAAUACACGGCAGAUAUGAGCAGCAAGCGAACCCAAUUUCUCGAAAAAGGUCAACCUCCUUGAACAUCACUACAUCGACAUGAAAAGAAAACCCUGGCAGAGAUGCUGCACUGCAUCCCAACGGAUUAGUGAUGGGGUAACCACUGACAGGAAGACUGUAGAGGAGUGGAGAGGGGAGAAGAGAGAAGAGAGGAAAAGG